GAUUCCUAACUGAUUAGAGUUUGAUCUUCGCUCAGGAACGAACGCUUGGCGGCGUGCCUAAUACAUGCAAGUCGAGCGGACCGAAGGGAGCUUGCUCCUUUAGGUUAGCGGCGGACGGGUGAGUAACACGUGGGCAACCUGCCCUGCAGACUAGGAUAACUUCGGGAAACCGGAGCUAAUACCGGAUAACACCGAAAACCGCAUGGUUUUCGGUUGAAAGGCGGCUUUUAGCUGUCACUGCAGGAUGGGCCCGCGGCGCAUUAGCUAGUUGGUGAGGUAACGGCUCACCAAGGCGACGAUGCGUAGCCGACCUGAGAGGGUGACCGGCCACACUGGGACUGAGACACGGCCCAGACUCCUACGGGAGGCAGCAGUAGGGAAUCUUCCGCAAUGGACGAAAGUCUGACGGAGCAACGCCGCGUGAGCGAAGAAGGUCUUCGGAUCGUAAAGCUCUGUUGUCAGGGAAGAACAAGUACCGUUCGAACAGGGCGGGUACCUUGGACCGUUACCUGACGAGGAAGCCACGGCUUAACUACGUUGCCAGCAGCCGCGGUUAAUACGUAGGUGGCAAGCGUUGUCCGGAAAUUAUUGGGGCGUAAAACGCGGCGCAUGGCGGUUCCUUAAAGUCUGAUGUGAAAUCCUCCGCGGGCUCAACCCGCAAGCGGGCAUUGGAAAACUGGGGGUACCUUGAGUUGCAGGA
rnacentral:rRNA from 1 species